rnacentral:rRNA from 1 species
GAUGAACGCUGGCGGCGUGCCUAAUACAUGCAAGUCGAGCGAACGGACGAGAAGCUUGCUUUUCUGAUGUUAGCGGCGGACGGGUGAGUAACACGUGGAUAACCUACCUAUAAGACUGGGAUAACUUCGGGAAACCGGAGCUAAUACCGGAUAAUAUUUUGAACCGCAUGGUUCAAAAGUGAAAGACGGUCUUGCUGUCACUUAUAGAUGGAUCCGCGCUGCAUUAGCUAGUUGGUAAGGUAACGGCUUACCAAGGCAACGAUGCAUAGCCGACCUGAGAGGGUGAUCGGCCACACUGGAACUGAGACACGGUCCAGACUCCUACGGGAGGCAGCAGUAGGGAAUCUUCCGCAAUGGGCGAAAGCCUGACGGAGCAACGCCGCGUGAGUGAUGAAGGUCUUCGGAUCGUAAAACUCGGUUAUUAGGGAAGAACAUAUGUGUAAGUAACUGUGCACAUCUUGACGGUACCUAAUCAGAAAGCCACGGCUAACUACGUG